UACGUAGGGUGCAAGCGUUGUCCGGAAUUAUUGGGCCUAAAGCAUCCGUAGCCGGUUUUACAAGUCCUCCGUUAAAUCCAGCUGCUUAACAGAUGGGCUGCGGAGGAUACUAUAAGACUAGGAGGCAGGAGAGGCAAGCGGUACUCAGUGGGUAGGGGUAAAAUCCGUUGAUCCAUUGAAGACCACCAGUGGCGAAGGCGGCUUGCCAGAACGCACUCGACGGUGAGGGAUGAAAGCUGGGGGAGCAAACCGG
rnacentral:rRNA from 1 species